rnacentral:lncRNA from 1 species
UGGCAGUUGCUCCCUGACCUCCAUCAGCACUUGAGUUUUCAUUGCAUUGAGAGGGGCGUAGCUGUGGAAUCUUCCUAGAGGAGAGCCCCAUCAAACUCUAUGGUCCAGACUUCUCUGCCUACGAGCCCAGGGAGGAGUCUGCACACACUUGUGUCCAGAGGGAGUUCGAGAAUGUGAUCGAGCUUCACUCGGCCCUUUUUCAACUGCGAGCUUACUGGAGUC